rnacentral:snRNA from 14 species
UCACGUAUGUGGCUUACCAAGGGUGAGGCUUGACCCCUUGCGCUCCGGGCUUGCUGACCUCUGCGAUUUUUCCAAAAUAUGGGAAACUCGACUGCAUAAUUUCUGGUAGUGGGGGACUGUGUGCACUCUUUCUUUCU